rnacentral:rRNA from 1 species
CCUACGGGUGGCAGCAGUGAGGAAUAUUGGUCAAUGGACGAGAGUCUGAACCAGCCAAGUAGCGUGAAGGAUGACUGCCCUAUGGGUUGUAAACUUCUUUUAUAAAGGAAUAAAACGAGGCACGUGUGCCUUUUUGCAUGUACUUUAUGAAUAAGGAUCGGCUAACUCCGUGCCAGCAACCGCGGUAAUAAGGAGGAUCCGAGCGUUAUCCGGAUUUAUUUGGUUUAAAGGGAGCGUAGAUGGGUUGGUACGGCAGUUGUGAAAGUUUGCGGCUCAACCGUAAAAUUGCAGUUGAGACUGGCAGUCUUGAGUACAGUUGAGGUAGGCGGAAUGCGUGGUGUAGCGGUGAAAUGCUUAGAUAUCACGAAGAACUCCGAUUGCGAAGGCAGCUUACUAAACUGUGACUGACAUUGAUGCUCGAAAGUGUGGGUAUCAAACAGGAUUAGAUACCCUGGUAGUC